rnacentral:rRNA from 1 species
UUAAAUUGAAGAGUUUGAUCAUGGCUCAGAUUGAACGCUGGCGGCAGGCUUAACACAUGCAAGUCGAACGGUAGCACGAAGGACUUGCUCCUUGGGUGACGAGUGGCGGACGGGUGAGUAAUGCUUGGGAAUCUGGCUUAUG